rnacentral:rRNA from 1 species
CCCUUAGAUGUCCGGGGCCGCACGCUCGCUACACUGAAGGAAUCAGCGUGGCUUUCUCCCUGACCCGAAAGGGUUGGGAAACCCGUUGAAUCUCCUUCGUGAUAGGGAUUGGGGCUUGAAAUUGUUCCCCAUGAACGAGGAAUUCCCAGUAAGCGCGAGUCAUAAGCUCGCGUUGAUUACGUCCCUGCCCUUUGUACACACCGCCCGUCGCUACUACCGAUUGAACGGUUUAGUGAGGGCCUCGGAUUGGUCUCGGCCCGCUCUUUACCGGGCGGCGCCGUUGGUCGAGAAGACGCUCGAACUUGAUCGUUUAGAGGAAGUAAAAGUCGUAACA